rnacentral:rRNA from 1 species
AACGAACGCUGGCGGCAUGCCUAACACAUGCAAGUCGAACGAUACCUUCGGGUCUAGUGGCGCACGGGUGCGUAACGCGUGGGAACCUGCCCUUAGGUUCGGAAUAACUCCCCGAAAGGGGUGCUAAUACCGGAUAAUGUCUUCGGACCAAAGAUUUAUCGCCUUUGGAUGGGCCCGCGUUGGAUUAGCUAGUUGGUAGGGUAAAAGCCUACCAAGGCGACGAUCCAUAGCUGGUCUGAGAGGAUGAUCAGCCACACUGGGACUGAGACACGGACCAGAAUCCUACGGGAGGCAGCAGUGGGGAAUAUUGGAAAAUGGGCGAAAGCCUGAUCCAGCAAUGCCGCGUGAGUGAUGAAGGCCUUAGGGUUGUAAAGCUCUUUUACCCGGGAUGAUAAUGACAGUACCGGGAGAAUAAGCUCCGGCUAACUCCGUG